rnacentral:piRNA from 1 species
UCACUGUCCGUUUCUACAUGAGAAGUAA